CGCGUAGGCGGGAUGGCAAGUCGGUCGUGAAAUCCCUCGGCUCAACUGAGGGAGCGUCGAUCGAAACUGCCGUUCUUGAGGGUUGCAGAGGAGACUGGAAUUCCCGGUGUAGCGGUGAAAUGUGUAGAGAUCGGGAGGAACACCGGUGGCGAAGGCGGGUCUCUGGGCAACUCCUGACGCUGAGGCGCGAAAGCGUGGGGAGCAAACG
rnacentral:rRNA from 1 species